GUGGGGAAUCUUAGACAAUGGGCGCAAGCCUGAUCUAGCCAUGCCGCGUGAGCGACGAAGGCCUUAGGGUUGUAAAGCUCUUUCAGUGGGGACGAUAAUGACUGUACCCACAGAAGAAGCCCCGGCUAACUCCGUGCCAGCAGCCGCGGUAAUACGGAGGGGGCUAGCGUUGUUCGGAAUUACUGGGCGUAAAGCGCACGUAGGCGGACGGAGAAGUCAGAGGUGAAAUCCCAGGGCUCAACCUUGGAACUGCCUUUGAAACUUUCUGUCUUGAGGUCGAGAGAGGUGAGUGGAAUUCCGAGUGUAGAGGUGAAAUUCGUAGAUAUUCGGAGGAACACCAGUGGCGAAGGCGGCUCACUGGCUCGAUACUGACGCUGAGGUGCGAAAGCGUGGGGAGCAAA
rnacentral:rRNA from 1 species